AUCAGCACGAGGAUAAGAUCUUGACGCCGGUGAAGUCUGUGAAUGUGAACCUUGAGCCUUACUAAGCUGCUUGCGUUGCAAAAAGGGUCCAUCGCUGAUCUCAUUGCCAAUGUUGGAUCUGGAUUUGGUGUCAUUGGUGCGGUGGUGCCAGGGUUUUGGUUGCUGCGUUGGCGGCCGUCAGGGCCUACCAUCCCCUGAGGGUGUUACUGUUGUCGAGGAGAGGAAGGAGAAGGGAAUUGAUAUCUGGUAAUUCACAAUGGCAAGUACCUGGAGGGAUUGUGCUUUAUUAGGAAUAAUUAUCUUAAACUUGUCUGGAUUUUCCUGUGAAUGAAAUUUGAUGGAUUGGAAUAAACUACCAAUGCUUGAAUAGUUUAGUUGACAUAUUUGGAGCCACUUCUCUUCCAUACUAAUACCUAGCUGGUCAUUGACUUUUAUCCUUGAAGCGUGUAGGCUAUACUUUACAUCUUACAGCUUAAAAGAUUGUUCUGUCUCAUUAAGGGCCUGGAGUGGUUACUAUGAAUAUAAUUCAAAGUUCAAAUGAUGGCCUUUGAUACUGAUUAACCAACCAGUAUUUUUUUGAUAUUGGAGUUAAUUUGUCUCUGCUAUUUUACUAAUUAGAGCUGCAUCUGCAUGUUCUAUCUGGAGGUCAAAUGAUGAUAGGAAGGGUUGGAUGAAGGUGCAUGACAUCGAUGAUGAUGUUGAGCAUCAUGAGUAAUGAUAGGAUUAGAAGGUCAUUCUAAGGAGAAAAUUUUGUGUGUGGCAAAUAAGCUGGAAAGCAUUGGCUAAAGCACACCACAUGCAGUCAAGGUGGUCAAUCAGCAUUCAGUUCAAAGAUAAGUAAGCUGUAUAUGGUAGGAGAUAAUUAUUUAGAAGAAUUUUAAAUAAUGGGAGAUAGUGGCAGAAGAUGACUGAAUGGAAAUGGGCAAAAGGAUGCAGGGGUGAAUCUGUGAGUAU